AGAGUUUGAUCAUGGCUCAGGACGAACGCUGGCGGCGUGCUUAACACAUGCAAGUCACGGGGGUCCCGCAAGGGAUAACCGGCGAACGGGUGCGUAACACGUGAGCAACCUGCCUUUGUGUGGGGGAUAGCCGGGCUAACGCCCGGGUAAUACCGCAUACGGUCAUUUGGGGGAGUCCCUAGAUGAAGAAACCUCCGGGGCACAAAGAGGGGCUCGCGGCCUAUCAGCUAGUUGGCGGGGUAAUGGCCCACCAAGGCGACGACGGGUAGCUGGUCUGAGAGGAUGGCCAGCCACAUUGGGACUGAGAGACGGCCCAGACUCCUACGGGAGGCAGCAGUGGGGAAUCUUGCGCAAUGGCCGAAAGGCUGACGCAGCGACGCUGCGUGUGGGAGGACGCCUUUCGGGGUGUAAACCACUGUUGCCCGGGACGAACAUCCACUUUCGAGUGGACUGACGGUACCGAGUGAGGAAGCACCGGCUAACUCCGUGCCAGCAGCCGCGGUAAUACGGAGGGUGCGAGCGUUGUCCGGAAUCAUUGGGCGUAAAGGGCGCGUAGGUGGCCUGGUCAGUUCGUGGUGAAAGCGCGGGGCUCAACCCCGCGUCGGCCAUGAAUACUGCUAGGCUUGAGCACUGUAGAGGCAGGCGGAAUUCCGGGUGUAGCGGUGGAAUGCGUAGAGAUCCGGAAGAACACCGGUGGCGAAGGCGGCCUGCUGGGCAGUAGCUGACACUGAGGCGCGACAGCGUGGGGAGCAAACAGGAUUAGAUACCCUGGUAGUCCACGCCGUAAACGAUGGGCACUAGGCGCUUGGGGGAGCGACCCCCCGAGGGCCGGCGCUAACGCAUUAAGUGCCCCGCCUGGGGAGUACGGCCGCAAGGCUGAAACUCAAAGGAAUUGACGG
rnacentral:rRNA from 1 species